rnacentral:lncRNA from 1 species
AGGUGGAGAGACUAGUGGUUGUAGCAGCAGUCACUUGAUCCAGCAUCCUAUGUGCCUGUGCGCUCUCCGUUACCCGCCGAUCCGGCUUGGUGUGCUUCUCCUGUUUGCGGGUUGUGUGCCACACACUUGAUUAAGCACCGCACGUUCUCCUACAGUGCGCCCUUGACCCUGGCUUUAGGUAGCGUCAUGUCCUCGGCUUACCGUGCAUAAUCCAGGUAUGCGUCGACUGUCUGAGCUCCUGCUCACAAUUGGUGUUGCUCGAGCGUGGGUUCUGGUGUCGCCCAUAAAGGGAACACGGGAUGUGGGAUUGAGACAGUUCACAUAGCAACCCACAGCAAGGCAAAGGAUGCCCAUCCAGACUGGCAGGGAGUGGAGGUAGACACAAAAAGGUGGGCUCGUACGUAAGAGCAGCAGGAGCAAGAAGAUCCAGGAUAUACUUCUCUUAACAAAUAAAGAUGAAGCAGUAUGUUAGUUUCUGUGGGCAAGUAAGAGGAUCCUGCUGUUUACAACAUGUUAACAAAUAAGAGGAUCCACGUAGCGAUGACCUCCUUUCGAGGCGAAAGGAGAUGGACCCCGGACAUCAAAGUGAACAAGGUUGAAAGGAUGUUGAGACACUGUCUUGGUAUUUAGCAUAAGGUAACUAUAGCUGUUUACCAAGCCGACAACCCACACGGUUUAAAGACAUCGUCGGAGACUGAUCCAAGAAGACCACGUCAAACUAAGGAUGCUCGAUGAGAGCCACAUAAGUGACCCCAGGCGACGAUGCCACUUCUAAGCAUAACUGGUAGACAAGGUAACAAAGGUGGAGAGACUAGCGGCUGUAGCAGCAGAGUCACUUGAUCCAACAUCCUACGUGCCUGUGCGCUCCCGUUACCCGCCGAUCCGGCUUGGUGUGCUUCUCCUGUUUGCGGGUUUUGUGCCACGCACUUGAUUAAGCACCCGACGUUCUUCUACAGUGCGCCCUUGCCCCUGGCUUUAGGUAGCGUCGUGUCCUCGGCUUGCCGUUCAUAAUCCAGGUAUGCGUCGACUGUCCAAGCUCCCGCUCACCAUUGGUGUUGCUCGAGUGUGGGGUCUGGUGUCGCCCAUAAAGGGAACACGUGAUGUGGGAUUGAGACAGUUCACAUAGCAACUCACAGCAAGGCAAAGGAUGCCCAUCCAGACUGGCAAAUAGCGGAGGCGGACACAAAAAGGUGGAUGUUGACUCCAUAGGAGUCUCAAUAGUACGCUCGUCCGUAAGAGCAGCAGGAGCACGAAGAUCCAGGAUAUACUUCUCUUAACAAAUAAAGAUGAAGCAGUAUGUUAGUUUCUGUGGGCAAGUAAGAGGAUCCUGCUGUUUACCAAGCAGCAUUUUAACAAAUAAGAGGAUCCACCUAGCGAUGACCUCCUUUCGAGGCGAAAGUUGAUGGACCCCGGACAUCAAAGUGAACAAGGUUGAAAGGAUGUUGAGACACUGUCUUGGUAUGAGCACAAGGUAACUAUAGCUGUUUACCAAGCCGACAACCCAGACGGUUUAAAGACAUCGUCGGAGACUGAUCCAAGAAGACCACGUCAAACUAAGGAUGCGAGAUGAGAGCCACAGAAGUGACCCCAGGUGACGAUGCCUCCUCUAAGCAUAACUGGUAGACAAGGUAACAGAGGUACAAUCAAUUCAUGUUAACAUAUGAAGCAGCAACUUGAUAACUAAUUUUUUUGUAGGAACAUACAUGCAAUUUGAUAUUUGUACACAUGUUGUUGGUUAACACAGAGUACAGAAGUUGUUAAACAGCUACCAACAGAGGACGUGAUUCAUGUUAAUUAACUGAACAAUGCUCGUGCAG